AUGUGCGAUCAUACCAGCACUAAUGCACCGGAUCCAAUCAGAACUCCGCAGUUAAGCGUGCUUGGGCGAGAGUAGUACUAGGAUGGGUGACCUCCUGGGAAGUCCUCGUGUUGCACCUC
rfam:Lupinus angustifolius cultivar Tanjil chromosome LG02, whole genome shotgun sequence.